GCCUUCAGCCGGGAGGCGCAGGAGGCGCGGAGCCAAUCCAGCCGUCCUGCCGCCGUCCGCGCGGGCCGUCCGUCCCUUCGGGGCCCCCGGGCCCCGGGCCCGCGGCUCCGGGGGGCGGGCGGGGACCCCCGGGGCCCGCCGGCCGCCCGGGGGGUCGAGGACGCCGUCUGCCGGGCGCCUAGCAGCGGCCCCGGGCCCCCGCGCGGCGCGCGCGUCUCCGGAAGCCCGGCCUGGGGCGUACUGGGGCCGGGGCAGUGGCCGGGCCCGGGAGCCCCCGCCGGCCGCGGAGCUGGUGGGCAGCGCCGUGUGGCGCGUGGAGCGCGCGGGGGCCGGGGGCUGGCGCUGGGAGCGCGCCGUCGGCGUGGACUGCAGCGCCCCGGAACCGCGCUGCCUCUGGCUGCCCUGCCUCAGCCACAGCGACCGCCGCGCGCCCGGGCCGCGCCGGGCCAGGCUGCCACUGGGCCCAAGAGAUGGGUGCUCUCCUAGGCGCCCCUUCCCCUGGCAGGGGCCGAGGACGCUGCUGCUGUACAAAAGUCCCCAGGACGGCUUUGGCUUCACUCUGCGCCACUUCAUCGUGUACCCACCCGAGUCGGCCGUGCACUGCAGCCUGAAGGAGGAAGAGAAUGGAGGCCGUGGAGGAGGACCCUCCCCCCGGUACCGCCUGGAGCCCAUGGACACCAUCUUUGUCAAGAAUGUGAAGGAAGACGGCCCUGCCCAUAGGGCGGGGCUUCGCACAGGAGACCGGCUGGUAAAGGUGAAUGGGGAAAGCGUCAUUGGGAAGACCUACUCUCAGGUCAUAGCUCUGAUCCAGAA
rnacentral:lncRNA from 10 species